UACGUAGGGGCAAGCGUUAUCCGGAUUUACUGGGUGUAAAGGGAGCGCAGACGGAACUGCAAGUCUGAUGUGAAAGCCCGGGGCUCAACCGCGGGACUGCAUCGGAUACUGUGGAUCUGGAGUGCCGGAGGGGCAAGCGGAAUUCCUGGUGUAGCGGUGAAAUGCGUAGAUAUCAGGAGGAACACCGGCGGCGAAGGCGGCUUGCUGGACGGCAACUGACGUUGAGGCUCGGAAGCGUGGGGAGCAAACAGGAUUAGAUACCCU
rnacentral:rRNA from 1 species